UUGUCAAGGUCACAACGAUGUUAUUAAUUUCGGUAGUGAAAUGAUGCAUUGAGGUCCAGAAGCAAAGAUACAUAUCUAAUGUGUAGCCCUAUAGGCAUGCUGGUAAAUUCUUCUUCUUAUUAGCACUCACACAUUCUCUUUUUCUCCGACUCUUCAGGCUGAACUUCAUCGUUCAAUCUGAAAUCCCUCGGUCAUAUCUAUUUUAGGUGUAGAUUCUAAGAUUAGAUGAUGUGAAUAUGAUUGAUUUAUAAAUGAAUCUACUCUGAUGGAUUAGUUACCUUAUGAUGAGUAAUGUAAACUCACAUCCUUUUAAGUCCUUGCUUGGAAGAUUGG
rnacentral:misc_RNA from 1 species